UUCCAUGAUAAGAUCUUUGAC
rnacentral:miRNA from 1 species